rnacentral:rRNA from 1 species
AUGAAGGGGGUGCGUCUCCGCCUCGUCAGCAACAGCCUCCGGUGCGUGCAGAUACGCUCUUUCGCCAUGGAGAGCAUCGACGUGGUGAACGCCCCGCGUCUCGAGUGCCUCCUCGUGUCGGAGUGUCUCGACCCUGCCGGCGGAUCGUGCACCAGAAUCAAAAUUGGCCAUGUCCCCAAGCUGAAGUUACUGGGAUACCUGGAGCCAGGAAAAUUCGUGCUAGAGAUCCAAGACACCGUCAUCAUGGCUGGGAUUAAGACAAAUGCAAGCAUGAUGGUCACGAGCGUGAAGACCCUUAGUUUGAGGGUGCGCUUCGGAGUCUAUGAUGAUGUCAAGAUGGUGCCCGCCUUCCUCAAAUGCUUCCCCAAUGUUGAGGCGCUGCAUAUUACGUCUGAAAAAUGUGAUCAGCUCACUGGCAAGUUUGACCUCGAGUUCUGGGAAGAGGUUGGUCCCAUUGUAAGUGUGUUCUUGCGCCUCAAAGUGAUCACGUUUUGUGAGUACCGCGCGAAGCAAGAUGAGCUUGCCUUCCUCCAGUACAUCUUCUAG